UACGGAGGAUCCGAGCGUUAUCCGGAUUUAUUGGGUUUAAAGGGUGCGCAGGCGGAAGAUUAAGUCGGUGGUGAAAUUUUGCAGCUCAACUGUAAAAGUGCCUUCGAUACUGGCUUCCUUGAGUGUGGAUGAAGUAGGCGGAAUUUGUGGUGUAGCGGUGAAAUGCAUAGAUAUCACGAGGAACUCCGAUUGCGCAGGCAGCUUACUAAACUACUACUGACGCUCAUGCACGAAGGCGUGGGGAUCAAACAGGAUUAGA
rnacentral:rRNA from 1 species